rnacentral:rRNA from 1 species
GAACGGGUAGCCGGCCUGAGAGGGUGACCGGCCACACUGGGACUGAGACACGGCCCAGACUCCUACGGGAGGCAGCAGUGGGGAAUAUUGCACAAUGGGCGCAAGCCUGAUGCAGCGACGCCGCGUGAGGGAUGACGGCCUUCGGGUUGUAAACCUCUUUCAGUAGGGAAGAAGCGAAAGUGACGGUACCUGCAGAAGAAGCGCCGGCUAACUACGUGCCAGCAGCCGCGGUAAUACGUAGGGCGCGAGCGUUAUCCGGAAUUAUUGGGCGUAAAGAGCUCGUAGGCGGUUUGUCGCGUCUGCCGUGAAAGUCCGGGGCUUAACCCCGGAUCUGCGGUGGGUACGGGCAGACUAGAGUGCAGUAGGGGAGACUGGAAUUCCUGGUGUAGCGGUGAAAUGCGCAGAUAUCAGGAGGAACACCGAUGGCGAAGGCAGGUCUCUGGGCUGUAACUGACGCUGAGGAGCGAAAGCAUGGGGAGCGAACAGGAUUAGAUACCCUGGUAGUCCAUGCCGUAAACGUUGGGCACUAGGUGUGGGGGACAUUCCACGUUUUCCGCGCCGUAGCUAACGCAUUAAGUGCCCCGCCUGGGGAGUACGGA